GAUGAGGACAUCCUCCACUAUUACCCGUUGGCAAAGACGCAAUUGGCCCAGUUGGCCCAAUUGUAGUCAGACGGUGACCGUGUGAGCCUCAGAAUUAUCCCACCUCGCUUAACUUGGGAGGAGGAAGCCACUUUAAAAGGGAGAGCCACCCUUCCCCCAUUGGACUAGUCUUUUGGGGUGAUUGGGCCUUUUCCUGAGUUGGGUGUGCUUAAUGAACUGUUGGGCUUCGGUCAACCCUAAUUUGUUGGGCCUCGACCAACCCCACCUGGGCUAGGUGUAUCAUCUGGUAUCGGAGCUAGGCCCAUUUUAAGAAGGUGGGAAUGAUGAGGACAUCCUCCACUAUUACCCAUUGGCAAAGACGCAAUUGGCCCAGUUGUCUCAAUUGUAGUUGGACGGUGACCGUGUGAGCCUCAGAAUUAUCCCACCUCGCUUAACUUGGGAGGAGGAAGCCACUUUAAAAGGGAGAGCCACCCUCCCCCCAUUGGACUAGUCUUUUGGGGUGAUUGGGCCUUUUCCUGAGUUGGG
rnacentral:lncRNA from 1 species